rnacentral:snRNA from 17 species
AGCUUUGCACAGAGGCAGUAUUGUAGCCUAUGAAUUUAUCUGAGGUAUGAUUAUUGCUAAUUGAAAACUCUUGGAAAAGUUUUCAAUUAGCAAUGGGGACUGAUUAAAACAAAACAGAUGCAAUGGUCUGUUCUUGCCUGUAAUCUCAACAACUGGGGAGGCUGAGGCAGGAGGAUCACAAGUUUGAGGCCAGCCUCAGCAAUUUAGUGAGGC